rnacentral:rRNA from 1 species
GACGAACGCUGGCAGCGUGCUUAACACAUGCAAGUCGAACGAUGAACCCGGAGCUUGCUCUUAUGAAGUUAGCGGCGGACGGGUGAGUAACACGUGGGUAACCUGCCCAUAAGACUGGGAUAACUCCGGGAAACCGGGGCUAAUACCGAAUAACAUUUUGAACCGCAUGGUUCGAAAUUGAAAGGCGGCUUCGGCUGUCACUUAUGGAUGGACCCGCGUCGCAUUAGCUAGUUGGUGAGGUAACGGCUCACCAAGGCAACGAUGCGUAGCCGACCUGAGAGGGUGAUCGGCCACACUGGGACUGAGACACGGCCCAGACUCCUACGGGAGGCAGCAGUAGGGAAUCUUCCGCAAUGGACGAAAGUCUGACGGAGCAACGCCGCGUGAGUGAUGAAGGCUUUCGGGUCGUAGAACUCUGUUGUUAGGGAAGAACAAGUGCUAGUUGAAUAAGCUGGCACCUUGACGGUACCUAACCAGAAAGCCACGGCUAACUACGUGCCAGCCGCCGCCGUAA